rnacentral:rRNA from 1 species
AUUGAACGCUGGCGGCAGGCCUAACACAUGCAAGUCGAACGGAGUGGCGGACGGGUGAGUAAUGUCUGGGAAACUGCCCGAUGGCGGGGGAUAACUACGCGAAAGCGUAGCUAAUACCGCAUACUAUUGGAGCGGCCGAUAUCGGAUUAGCUAGUAGGUGGGGUAACGGCUCACCUAGGCGACGAUCCGUAGCUGGUUUGAGAGGACGACCAGCCACACUGGGACUGAGACACGGCCCAGACUCCUACGGGAGGCAGCAGUGGGGAAUUUUGGACAAUGGGGGAAACCCUGAUCCAGCCAUACCGCGUGUGAGAAGAAGGCCUUCGGGUUGUAAAGUACUUUCAGCGAGGAGGCGUUACUCGCAGAAGAAGCACCGGCUAACUCCGUGCCAGCAGCCGCGGUAAUUC